AGCAGCCGCGGUAAUUCCAGCUCCAAUAGCGUAUAUUAAAGUUGUUGCAGUUAAAAAGCUCGUAGUUGAAUUUCGGGGUUAGCAGGUCGGUCGUGCCAUCGGUAUGAACUGGUCUCGCUGAUCCCUCCCUCUUGACGAACUGUGAUGCCAUUAAUUUGGUGUCGCAGGGAAUCAGGACUGUUACUUUGAAAAAAUUAGAGUGUUUAAAGCAGGCUCACGCUUGAAUACAUUAGCAUGGAAUAAUGAAAUAGGACGUUUGAUCCUAUUUUGUUGGCUUCUAGGAUUGACGUAAUGAUUAAUAGGGAUAGUUGGGGGCAUUAGUAUUCAAUUGUCAGAGGUGAAAUUCUUGGAUUUAUUGAAGACUAACUACUGCGAAAGCAUUUGCCAAGGAUGUUUUCAUUAAUCAAGAACGAAAGUUAGGGGAUCGAAGACGAUCAGAUACCGUCGUAGUCUUAACCAUAAACUAUGCCGACUAGGGGAGUCGGAUGAUUGUUAAUUUUUUCAAUGACUCAUUC
rnacentral:misc_RNA from 1 species